rnacentral:rRNA from 1 species
GAUGAACGCUGGCGGCGUGCUUAACACAUGCAAGUCGAACGGAAAGGCUCCUGCUUGCAGGAGUACUCGAGUGGCGAACGGGUGAGUAACACGUGGGUGAUCUGCCCUGCACUUCGGGAUAAGCCUGGGAAACUGGGUCUAAUACCGGAUAGGACUUGAGUUUGGAUGCUCAAGUGGAAAGUUUUUCGGUGUGGGAUGAGCUCGCGGCCUAUCAGCUUGUUGGUGGGGUAAUGGCCUACCAAGGCGUCGACGGGUAGCCGGCCUGAGAGGGUGUACGGCCACAUUGGGACUGAGAUACGGCCCAGACUCCUACGGGAGGCAGCAGUGGGGAAUAUUGCACAAUGGGCGCAAGCCUGAUGCAGCGACGCCGCGUGGGGGAUGACGGCCUUCGGGUUGUAAACUCCUUUCGCCAAGGACGAAGCGGAAGUGACGGUACUUGGAGAAGAAGCACCGGCUAACUACGUGCCAGCCGCCGCCGUAACAC